CGUGCUUGCACAAAUAGUUGACUGAGUGGCGGACGGGUGAGUAACGCGUGAGCGACCUACCUUAAAGAGGGGGACAACAGUUGGAAACGACUGCUAAUACCGCAUAAGACCACAAUGCUGCAUGGCAAAGGGGUCAAAGGAGCAAUCCGCUUUAAGAUGGGCUCGCGUCCCAUUAGGUAGUUGGUGAGGUAACGGCUCACCAACGCCGACGAUGGGUAGCCGACCUGAGAGGGUGAUCGGCCACACUUGGAACUGAGAGACGGUCCAGGACUCCG
rnacentral:rRNA from 1 species